AGGUGAAUUCUGGGUGGCAAUUCAUUGUCGUCGUACUCUGUAUGCGUAUCUCAUAAGUAUCUAUCCUCGGUUGAGGAAGUUCUUGCUCUCGCUUCCGAUCCCAGUCAAGUAUCAUUACAUGUUCCACAUCGGGGGUAACCUUCACGGGCUGAUCAUCAAGUACGGUCCUGACGGCGAGAUGCUGGAGGUUUUGGAGGACAGGCAGGGGAAGGUGGUUAGAGCAGUGAGUGAAGUCGAGGAGAAGGAUG
rnacentral:misc_RNA from 1 species